rnacentral:rRNA from 1 species
CCUACGGGUGGCUGCAGUGAGGAAUAUUGGUCAAUGGGCGCGAGCCUGAACCAGCCAAGUAGCGUGAAGGAUGACUGCCCUACGGGUUGUAAACUUCUUUUAUAAGGGAAUAAAGUGAGGCACGUGUGCCUUUUUGUAGGUAAUUUAUAAAUAAGGAUCGGCCAACUCCGGUCCAGAAGCCGCGGUAAUACGGAGGAUCCGAGCGUUAGCCGGAUUUAUUGGGUUUAAAGGGAGCGUAGAUGGGUUGUUAAGUCAGUUGUGAAAGUUUGCGGCUCAACCGUAAAAGUGCAAUUGAUACUGGCAGCCUUGAGUACAGUUGAGGUAGGCGGAAUUCGUGGUGUAGCGGUGAAAUGCUUAGAUAUCACGAAGAACUCCGAUUGCGAAGGCAGCUUACUAAACUGCCACUGACAUUGAUGCUCGAAAGUGUGGGUAUCAAACAGGAUUAGAUACCCGGGUAGUC